AGCUUAGUGGCGGACGGGUGAGUAACACGUGAGCAACCUGCCUUUCAGAGUGGAAUAACGUUUGGAAACGAACGCUAAUACCGCAUAAUGUCAGAGGAUGGCAUCAUUCUUGGACCAAAGAUUUAUCGCUGAAAGAUGGGCUCGCGGCCGAUUAGGUAGUUGGUGAGAUAAUAGCCCACCAAGCCGACGAUCGGUAGCCGGACUGAGAGGUUGAACGGCCACAUUGGGACUGAGACACGGCCCAGACUCC
rnacentral:rRNA from 1 species